rnacentral:tRNA from 1 species
GGUGGCUCAGGGCGCGGCCCGUCCCCGUGUCGAUCGCGUACGCGCCGAUGCGUCCGUGGUGCUGUUGUUCGAGGCGGCGGAGCCGCCG